UUGGAUAUAGCUCAGUCGGUAGAGCGCGGCAUUCAUGCUGUUGUCGCGGGUUCGAUUCCCGUUAUCCCAA
rnacentral:tRNA from 1 species